AUACGGAGGGUGCAAGCGUUACUCGGAAUCACUGGGCGUAAAGCGCGCGCAGGCGGCUAUUUAAGUUGGAUGUGAAAGCCUACGGCUCAACCGUAGAACUGCAUCCAAAACUAUUUAGCUAGAGUGUGGGAGAGGAAGAUGGAAUUAGUUGUGUAGGGGUAAAAUCCGUAGAGAUAACUAGGAAUACCAAAAGCGAGGGCAAUCUUCUGGAACACUACUGACGCUGAGGCGCGAAAGCGUGGGGAGCAAACAGGAUUAGAAACCCGAGUAGUCC
rnacentral:rRNA from 1 species